UGUGUGUGUGUGUGCCUGUGUGCGUUUGUACUGUUGUCACCGGGAGACAUGAUCUCCACCAAGGUCUUAGAGCAUUAUGCACUUUCUUAGUUUCAGAGUCAAAUUUGCUUGAGAAUGCUGGAAAAUUUCUCUCUGGAGUAAAAACAUUUAGUGAACACUUAAUAACAAGCAAGUAAAUCAUCUUUAUAUGGGCAAAUGAAUGUAUUUGUUUUGACAUUAAGGUACUCAAAUUUGCUUUAAAAAAAAAUCUAUUCAACAUUUUGAUUUCUAUACCAUACUUGAUGAAUCUUGGGGUUGAGCUUUAUUUAAUAUACUUAUGAUGCAGAUCCAAAAAAAAUUCUUUAUCUUCAUUUUAGUAUUAUCUAGCAUUUUUAACUCUUCUCACUGGGCUUUGUGUUAACGUCCUCCUGUGUGAUAAUCAUAUACAUAACCUUCAACAAUCAGUCCAAAUUCAGGCAUCUUAAUGAGGUAGGUUCUCUCAUAUGAUCUCAUAAGCCGAGUCAAGAUCAAGAUUUAUAUAAGCGCAUAUUAACAUCUCCCUCUACCACUAAAGUCUUAUUUUUUUUUAAUUUUAUUUGUUGAUCCAUCUGUCUCGGUGCAACAAAAAAAAAAGACAACAUUCCUCACCACAUUCGAAUGUCAGCUGGUCGUCCAAAACAUAUUGUGCCUAUUUUUUCUUUAAAGAGGUGUUAUUUAGGAAAAACCAGCAAUAAGUAAAAGCAAGCAGUUGCAAUGUACUGUACAUAGUUUGAAUUACACAGCAGCUAUAGCAGUAAUUGCUGUCAUGUGGUUGUUAUAGAGCAUGUGCACAUAUUUUUUUAAUAAUAUGCAAGAAAUCCGAACUAUUCUAAUAAUAAUAAUUCUAAUAAUAAUAUGAUCACUGUGAUGUUUGUGUUGUAAUUGUAAAAUGAAAGCAAAGAGAUAAUCACGAAAGGAACGGCAGAAGACUCAGUACCUGUAAUAACCAACCAGCCUUGUCUUUAUAUUUGAACUACACUUAUGAAUGAACAUCUAUGCCUUUAUAUGACAAUAUUAUUUAAUGUCUUGGCAGCAAUGAUAGCAAUAUUAAUCUUCAGAAUGUACAUACCUGUGCCUUCAAAUCCUUUUUCUUGACUUUUUCUGUCUGAUUUGCCGGGUGGAGGGUUGUUGGCUUCCUCUCCCCGAGAUAGAGCUGUACGGAUCAAGUGUCUGUUGAAGUGACAAUAACACUACAGAUGAUGUCAAACUUCUACAGGAAGCGAUGCUGAGCAAAAUAUGGUUUUAUUUUAAAUAAAGACACUACUUAUUUCACCACGUUGUUUGUAUUUGAGUUGU